UCCCUGGUGGUCCAGUGGCUAGGACUCCUGCUCCUAAUGCAGGGGCCUGGGUUCAAUCCCUGGUCAGGGAA
rnacentral:tRNA from 2 species